ACCACAGAAGGUAAUAGUCCUGUAUGUUAAACGAGAAGACUUUAGAUAUGAUCCAGAGUACCACGGGACACGUGAAACCCUGUGGGAAGCAGGAGGGACCACCCUCCAAGGCUAAAUACUACCUAGUGACCGAUAGCGUAUAGUACCGUGAGGGAAAGGUGAAAAGAACCCCGGGAGGGGAGUGAAAUAGAACCUGAAACCCUGCACUUACAAGCUGUGGAAGCACAUUUCUUGUGUGACCGCGUACUUUUUGUAGAACGGGCCAACGAGUUACGUUAAGUAGCAAGGUUAAGCACUUAAGGUGUGGAGCCGUAGCGAAAGCGAGUUUUAACUGAGCGUUCAGUUACUUGACGUAGACCCGAAACCGGGCGACCUACCCAUGAGCAGGAUGAAGCGAAAGUAAAAUUUCGUGGAGGUCCGAACCCACGAGCGUUGAAAAGCUCGGGGAUGACUUGUGGGUAGCGGUGAAAUUCCAAUCGAGCCCGGAGAUAGCUGGUUCUCCCCGAAAUAGCUUUAGGGCUAGCCUCAAGGUGAGAGAUACGGAGGUAGAGCACUGAAUGUCCUAGGGGGUAUUGCACCUACCGAAGACUAUCAAACUCCGAAUGCCGUCAUCUUAUACUUGGGAGUCAGACUGUGGGUGAUAAGAUUCAUAGUCGAAAGGGCAACAGCCCAGAUCGUCAGCUAAGGUCCCUAAAUGUAAGUUAAGUGGUAAAGGAUGUGGGAUUGCACAGACAACCAGGAUGUUGGCUUAGAAGCAGCCACUCAUUCAAAGAGUGCGUAAUAGCUCACUGGUCGAGUGAUCCUGCGCCGAAGAUUUCCGGGGCUAAAACUU
rnacentral:rRNA from 1 species